ACAUGCAAGUCGAACGAGAAGCUUUGGUGCUUGCACCGAAGUGGAAAGUGGCGAACGGGUGAGUAACACGUGAGAAACCUGCCUAAAAGAUCGGGACAACUAAUGGAAACGUUAGCUAAUACCGAAUACCUUUAUUUUUUCUCCUGAUUAAAUAAAGAAAGCUCCGGCGCUUUUAGAUGGUCUCGCGUCCUAUCAGCUUGUUGGUGAGGUAAUGGCUCACCAAGGCAACGACGGGUAGCUGGUCUGAGAGGAUGUCCAGCCACAUUGGAACUGAGAUACGGUCCAAACUCCUACGGGAGGCAGCGGUUAGGAAUCUUGCACAAUGGGGGAAACCCUGAUGCAGCGAUGCCGCGUGCGGGAUGAAGGCCCUAGGGUUGUAAACCGCUUUCAGUAGGGAAGAAAGUGACGGUACCUACAGAAGAAGCACCGGCUAACUACGUGCCAGCAGCCGCGGUAAUACGUAGGGUGCAAGCGUUAAUCGGAAUUACUGGGCGUAAAGCGUGCGCAGGCGGUUGUGCAAGACAGAUGUGAAAUCCCCGGGCUUAACCUGGGAACUGCAUUUGUGACUGCACGGCUAGAGUGCGGCAGAGGGGGAUGGAAUUCCGCGUGUAGCAGUGAAAUGCGUAGAUAUGCGGAGGAACACCGAUGGCGAAGGCAAUCCCCUGGGCCUGCACUGACGCUCAUGCACGAAAGCGUGGGGAGCAAACAGGAUUAGAUACCCUGGUAGUCCACGCCCUAAACGAUGUCAACUGGUUGUUGGGAGGGUUUCUUCUCAGUAACGUA
rnacentral:rRNA from 1 species